rnacentral:rRNA from 1 species
UACAGAGGGUGCGAGCGUUAAUCGGAAUUACUGGGCGUAAAGCGUGCGUAGACGGUUAUGUAAGUCGGGUGUGAAAGCCCCGGGCUCAACCUGGGAAUUGCAUUCGAGACUGCGUAGCUAGGGUGCGGAAGAGGGAAGCGGAAUUUCCGGUGUAGCGGUGAAAUGCGUAGAUAUCGGAAGGAACACCAGUGGCGAAAGCGGCUUCCUGGUCCAGCACCGACGUUCAGGCACGAAAGCGUGGGGAGCAAACAGG